rnacentral:rRNA from 1 species
ACAGUGGACGCGAGCAUCUUUGUUGUAAGUAAUGAAGAGCGUACGGUGGAUGCCUUGGCACCAGGAGCCGAUGAAGGACGUAGGAGGCUGCGAUAAGCCUCGGGGAGCUGUCAACCG